UACAGAGGGUGCGAGCGUUAAUCGGAAUUACUGGGCGUAAAGCGUGCGCAGGCGGUUCUAUAAGACAGAUGUGAAAUCCCCGGGCUCAACCUGGGAACUGCAUUUGUGACUGUAGAGCUGGAGUACGGCAGAGGGGGAUGGAAUUCCGCGUGUAGCAGUGAAAUGCGUAGAUAUGCGGAGGAACACCGAUGGCGAAGGCAAUCCCCUGGGCCUGUACUGACGCUCAUGCACGAAAGCGUGGGGAGCAAACAGG
rnacentral:rRNA from 1 species